rnacentral:piRNA from 1 species
AACGUAACCUUGGGGUCUGUGGU